rnacentral:rRNA from 1 species
AGAGUUUGAUCAUGGCUCAGGACGAACGCUGGCGGCGUGGAUUAGGCAUGCAAGUCGAACGGUAUGGUGCUUUCGGGCAUCAGAGAGUGGCGAACGGGUGAGUAACACGUAGGUGAUCUACCCUCAAGACGGGGACAACCCAGGGAAACUUGGGCUAAUACCGGAUGAUAGCAGCAGUGAUGUUGUUUAAAAGAUGGCUUUCGGGCUGUCGUUUGGGGAUGAGCCUGCGUCCUAUUAGCUAGUUGGUGUGGUAAAGGCACACCAAGGCGAUGAUAGGUAGGCGGCCUUAACGGGUGGUCGCCCACACUGGGAUUGAGAUACGGCCCAGACUCCUACGGGAGGCAGCAGUCGAGAAUAGUCUACAAUGGUCGGAAGACUGAUAGUGCGACGCCGCAUGAACGAGGAAGCCCUUCGGGGUGUAAAGUUCUUUUAUAUGUGAGCAGUGGGUUCUACGUUAAUAGCGUGGGAUCAGGGAUAUUAGCAUAUGAAUAAGCAACGGCUAACUCCGUGCCAGCAGCCGCGGUAACACGGGGGUUGCGAGCGUUGUCCGGAAUUACUAGGCGUAAAGGGCAGGUAGGCGGAUCUAUAAGUUUUUUGUCAAAUUCAACGGCUCACCCGUUGCUCGGCAGGAGAUACUGUAGAUCUGGAAUGCGGUUGGGGGAGACAGAAUUCCUGGUGUAGCGGUGGAAUGCGCAGAGAUCAGGAGGAAUACCUAAGGCGAAGGCAGUCUUCUAAGCCGUAAUUGACGCUAAACUGCGAAGGUGUGGGUAUCAAACAGGAUUAGAUACCCUGGUAGUCCACACAGUAAACGAUAAUCACUGGGUGUCGGGUUCGUAGAGGAUUCGGUGCCGUAGCUAACGCGAUAAGUGAUUCGCCUGGGGAGUACGAUCGCAAGGUUGAAACUCAAAUGAAUUGACGG